AUUCCUAUAGUUUAAGUGGAUAAAACAAUGGUCUCCUAAACCAUAAAUACAGGUUCAAAUCCUGUUAGGAAUA
rnacentral:tRNA from 1 species